GUCAUUUUAACUUUUAAAACAUCCUGUUCUGUUUCAUUGUGAACUGGCUGAGCUUUCCAAGAUGUGGUUGAACUGAAGUGAAGAUAGAGAAUUUUCUUCUAUUUUUCCUCAUUUAAAUGAGCACAAUUUUAUUAGGUUACCAUUAUGAAUGAUGAUUGCUGUUGAUGUCUGAGAUCUGAUUUGUGAUGACCAUUAAAACCUUUUAAGUUUUUAUUUCAGCCAAGAAAUUUUGCUUGUUAAUGUUUCCUUGACUGUUGUUCCUUAUACUUUAAGUGAACUGACCUUCAAUCUUUCUCUGUAACUCUUGAUAUUAUCAUACAAUUUUUUCAUCAAGUCUCUUAAAGCGGUGAAUGAUGUUUGAAAAUUUGCUUAUAUAAAAUCACUCUUUAACCAUAACGGUCAUGAUUUACUAUAUUUUUAAGGGUUUAUUCAAUUCUGUUUACUAAUAUUUUAUUCAGAAUAUUUACUUCUAAAUUCAUAAGUAACAUGGGUCUAUAUUUUUUAAUACUGUAAGUUUCAUUUUGGUAUUAAGAUUUUAUUUUUUAUAGCAUAGUUGAAGAAUAAUCUAAUUUUUCCAAUUUCUUUGACUAGUAUAUAUAAAAUUGGAAUUAUUUCUCCCUUCAAAUUUUUGUAAUAGUGCCCUACCAAAUUUUAGAUAAGCCACCAAAAUUUGGAUGAUUAGAAGACCCCAAUAAACAGGAAUCUGGCAUUGAUCAUGAAGAUUAUUUAGACCUACCAAAAAAUCUUCUUUGUGUGAAGAUUUUUUUUAAAUUAAGCUAAAUCAGGUUUCCUACUUGUUAAAUCAGUUUUUGAUAUUUGUCCAUAUCAUCUGAGUUUUCAAAUUUACAGAUAUCAGUAUUCUCAUACUAUGUUUUUAUUCUCUUUUAAACCUCUUCUCUAUUUGUGGUUAUAUCUUUUCAUUAGUAUUAGUAUUUCUUUGGAAUUCUUACUUUUCUUAACUAUUUGUUUAAACAUUUUAUCAAUCUUUUCAAAGAACCAAAUUUUUAUAUGUGUUAGUGUUAUAUUUUUAAUAAUUAUAUUAAUAUUGUUUUGAAUGCAAAUACCAGGCUUCUGGAUAAGGGCAGGUUUAUUAUUAUUAUAUACAUAAUAGUAGCUAUGCUAAUUUCCCUUUGCCUCAGUGCUUAACCCUAGCAUAAAACUAUGAGAGACAAAUGUCAUCAUGUGCAUAUUGGAGUAGGUAAAAAAUACCAAAAGUAUAAAUCUGGGCAUUUAUAUAGAAGAGAGAGUUUCUUGUCAUCCCCUAAUGAAAGGAGAAAAAUACUUUUCUCCUUGAGAAGAAUUCUUAGUUUUUACUCUCACACUUUGUAAUGUAAAUAAGUUUCUCCAGUAGAAAAAUGAGACUAGUGUCUUUAUAAAAUGUCUCCAUCUUUAUAACCCAAGACAUCUCUCUAUAAUCCAAAGUUUCAUUCUCCUUUGAAAUCUCAACAUAUAUAUUUUCAGAAGGAAACUACUUGUAGGUGGUCUGUCACUAUUAUCUGUCAUAAUUUAACUUCUAGACUUGUUGAUAAGUUCAGAUUCCAAGUUUUAGUACGAUUUACUAAAAAAAAACCUAGCAUGCAGAAACAAAAAUAUUUUCUCUACAGCUUCACUUUGAGCUUUUGCUUUAUUUUUCAUGAAUUUCUGCUAUAUACUUUAUUAUUUCUUUUAUUCUUGUUUACUUGGUUUUAUCUGUGUGGUUUUUAAGUUUUUAAGUUAGAUACUUACCUUGUUUUUGGACUUUUAUAUGUAUCUAUGCAUUGAAGCCAUAAAAUUCCUAAGUUAAGCUUAUGCUAUAUUCCAUGGCACUCUUCAAUGUAAGUAAAUUUUUUGCUGUCUUGUUAAAUAUUUCAACACUAUUUUUAAUAAAGUUAUAUUGCCAUGUUCAGAAGAAAAAAAAUCGAGAGUCAAACAAAGUUACUUUUCUUUUUAUUACAAGUGCUAUUAAUAUACAUAAGAAAUUACAAGUUAUUACAAGUGCUAUUAAUAUACAUAAGAAAAAUAUAACCAACUUCAGCCAGUUUCUGAUAUGAAUUAUACAAAGUGACAUGAUCAAGUGUUAACUACUAGUUUUAAAUAGCUAUGGCUAUUUUGAAAUACUUAACGCUUUUCACAAUUGAAAUACUUAUUGAUAUUUUCGAAGAAUCAUAGGCAGUUGGAAAAAAUAACACAGAGAUGGUUUUAUAAAUCUUGCCCAGUUUCUUCCUGAUAACAUUGUGCAAAAUUAUAGUAUAAUAUUGCAAACAGAAUUUUGACAUUGAUAACAUUCAUUGAUCUUAUUCAGAUUUUCCCAGAUUUGCUUGUCCUCAUUCGUGUAUGUUUUCUUUUUCUUUUCUUUUUUGCUU
rnacentral:lncRNA from 1 species